UGAAACCGUUCGGGGGUAAACGGACAGAGCCCGUGAAUCCGGGCCGGCGAAUUCAGGACCGGUGCGUGUGCCUCUUGUAGGUGCUGCGCGUCGGUUUGAUUUUUCGUCGGCCGUAUAAAAUCGGACGUUGCGACCCGUUUGGUGCUGGUUUCUGUAAGGGCCGACGUUCAGUUCGACCAGUUUGAUUCGUUUCGGCGGAUCAGUUUGGCGAUGCGUCAGUUCCGAGCUAGCUAGCCCGACGGUAUAAGAAUGGUGUCCGGCGAUGGGGACUUGUCCUGAUCGUCGGUACCGGUCGGUAACGAUUAUUCGGGCCUCUUUCCGACC
rnacentral:rRNA from 1 species